rnacentral:rRNA from 1 species
UACAGAGGUCUCAAGCGUUGUUCGGAUUCAUUGGGCGUAAAGGGUGCGUAGGCGGCGCGGUAAGUCGGGUGUGAAAUCUCGGAGCUUAACUCCGAAACUGCAUUCGAUACUGCCGUGCUUGAGGACUGGAGAGGAGACUGGAAUUUACGGUGUAGCGGUGAAAUGCGUAGAUAUCAGGAGGAACACCAAUGGCGAAGGCAGCUCUCUGGUACAUGAUUGACGCUGAGACGCGAAAGCGUGGGGAGCGAACAGG